rnacentral:misc_RNA from 1 species
GUGAAGAACGUAGCGAAAUGCGAUAAGUAAUGUGAAUUGCAGAAUUCAGUGAAUCAUCGAAUCUUUGAACGCACAUUGCGCCCGCUAGUAUUCUGGCGGGCAUGCCUGUUCGAGCGUCAUUUCAACCAUCAAGCCCUGCUUGUGUUGGGGUCCUGCGGCUGCCCGCAGGCCCUGAAAACCAGUGGCGGGCUCGCUAGUCACACCGAGCGCAGUAGCACAUCUCGCUCAGGGCGUGCGGCGGGUUCUUGCCGUAAAACACCCCCUUUUUACCAAGGUUGACCUCGGAUCAGGUAGGAAUACCCGCUGAACUUAAGCAUAUCAAUAAGCGGAGGA